CAGAGACAGGCAGGAUUUCAAAGUGGCACAGGAGACGUUUGGGAGUUUUGCAUAUGCACCAGCAAGGCUCUUGGAUCAAGCCCUACAGCAGAAAGCAAGCAGUAUGUGGUGCCGUGGAAGCAAGAUGCUAAGAAAAUACACCUGCGAACAGUGAUGUAUCAAUGGCUGGAGCGAGACAGGAGAGGAGGAACAGGAGGAGGAGAGUGAGAGAAACUGAUUGCCAACCUUAGUCCAGUGAAAACUUUGCUCCGAUAAUAUUUCCUUGGCCUGACCAAUCCAGAUCAACAAUCCUCUUCUUUGGUGAUUGAAUAAGGGAAGAAGCUCUGCUGGGUGACCUUGAACACAUCACUUCACUUCCUUGAGCUUCAAUAUACCUGCCAUCAAAUGGGAACAAUCAUGUUUACCUCCCUGAAUAGUCAAGAGGAUUAAAUUAAAUAGUGAGGAAUACUAACAGAUGCAAUUUUAUCUUCAACUCCAAGUCUACGUCACUGAUGCCAUUUCCACUUCUCUCAACUUCAUCAUCAGCAUUUAAAGUAACCCAGCCUGCCUGCUAUUCUCUUUUCAGUCCAAGACUUUCCUAGGCACUCCCUCCUUCAUCCUUCACUCCCAGUCAUGGUUUUCCUCUGGGGGAGGCAUUUCCUGGACAGGUUCUGUUUGGUUUUGUUGUAGACAGAG